rnacentral:lncRNA from 1 species
UCACCCAUUCAUUUUCUAGCACUUUCUCACCUUCCAAACACAUCCUCCGUUGCUCCAAACCCUCACCCUCCCACCUCACCCCCAAAAUCACCAUGUCCUCCACCGCCUCCUCCGCCACCCAAACAGUCAUCGAGCACAUCGUCCUCUUCAAAGUCAAGGACGACACCGACCCAGCCAAGGUCAGCGCGAUGGUCAACAACCUCAACGGCCUCACCUCUCUCAACCUCACACUCCACCUCACCGCCUCCCCGAUCCUCCGCACCCGAUCCUCGCCCUUCGCCUUCACCCACCUCCUCCACAGCCGCUACAGCUCCAAAGACGACCUCAGCGCCUAUACUGUGCACCCGGGGCACAUGAGCGUGGUGAAAGAAUCGGUCCUCCCCGUCUGCGACGACAUCAUGGCCGUCGACUGGGUCGCCGACGAC